UUCGCCCUUAGAGUUUGAUCCUGGCUCAGGAUGAACGCUAGCUACAGGCUUAACACAUGCAAGUCGAGGGGAAACGACAUCGAAAGCUUGCUUUUGAUGGGCGUCGACCGGCGCACGGGUGAGUAACGCGUAUCCAACCUGCCCACCACUUGGGGAUAACCUUGCGAAAGUAAGACUAAUACCCAAUGAUAUCUCUAGAAGACAUCUGAAAGAGAUUAAAGAUUUAUCGGUGAUGGAUGGGGAUGCGUCUGAUUAGCUUGUUGGCGGGGUAACGGCCCACCAAGGCGACGAUCAGUAGGGGUUCUGAGAGGAAGGUCCCCCACAUUGGAACUGAGACACGGUCCAAACUCCUACGGGAGGCAGCAGUGAGGAAUAUUGGUCAAUGGGCGAGAGCCUGAACCAGCCAAGUAGCGUGCAGGAUGACGGCCCUAUGGGUUGUAAACUGCUUUUAUAAGGGAAUAAAGUGAGUCUCGUGAGACUUUUUGCAUGUACCUUAUGAAUAAGGACCGGCUAAUUCCGUGCCAGCAGCCGCGGUAAUACGGAAGGUCCGGGCGUUAUCCGGAUUUAUUGGGUUUAAAGGGAGCGUAGGCCGGAGAUUAAGCGUGUUGUGAAAUGUAGACGCUCAACGUCUGCACUGCAGCGCGAACUGGUUUCCUUGAGUACGCACAAAGUGGGCGGAAUUCGUGGUGUAGCGGUGAAAUGCUUAGAUAUCACGAAGAACUCCGAUUGCGAAGGCAGCUCACUGGAGCGCAACUGACGCUGAAGCUCGAAAGUGCGGGUAUCGAACAGGAUUAGAUACCCUGGUAGUCCGCACGGUAAACGAUGGAUGCCCGCUGUUGGUCUGAAUAGGUCAGCGGCCAAGCGAAAGCAUUAAGCAUCCCACCUGGGGAGUACGCCGGCAACGGUGAAACUCA
rnacentral:rRNA from 1 species